UAGUUUGACUGCUACCUCCGAAGAAGCAUUUACAAGAAGAAGUUUGAGCUGACGUAUGUGGGACCUAGCCAGGUGAUUGUGAAGAACCUGUCAUCGGGAACCCGAGUGGUGCUCAAGUCCCACUAUGGCUAUGAGGUGGAAGAGGUGAAAAUCCUGGGAAAGGAGCGUUACUUGGUGGCCCACAUGUCAGACACACUGCUGCCGGGGGACCUGAAUACUAAUCGCCUUAAUGAGAAUGCUGUGAAGGAGGCCAUGGGCAUGUAUCAGCAGCUACACCAUUGGGAUGAGUGUAUCGUUGUGGCUGUAGCCAAGGGGCACCUAGCCCUGGAGAAUCUACGCCGGAGUUGUUACCAGUGGCUGAUGGACACACAGCGGAAGGAGCGAGCAGGUGAACUACAGGAGAGCCAAGGGGAUGGGCUAGCAGCCAUCAGCCUCUACCUCAAAGCUGGGCUCCCUGCCAAAGCUGCUCAGCUGGUGCUGUCCCGAGAGGAACUGCUAGCCAACACAGAGCUGGUAGAACACAUCACUGCAGCCCUUAUCAAGGGGAACUCUACGAAAGGGCAGGUGAUUUCUUUGAGAAGACUCACAAUCCACAGCAGGCCCUGGAGUGCUACCGUAAAGGGAACGCAUUCAUGAAAGCGGUAGAGCUGGCUCGAUUGGCCUUCCCAGUGGAGGUGGUGAAACUAGAGGAGGCAUGGGGGGACCACCUGGUGCAGCAGAAGCAGCUUGAUGCAGCCAUUAAUCACUACAUCGAAGCCAGGUAUGGGAGUA
rnacentral:lncRNA from 1 species